UACGGAGGGUGCAAGCGUUAAUCGGAAUUACUGGGCGUGAAGCGCACGCAGGCGGUUUGUUAAGUCAGAUGUGAAAUCCCCGGGCUCAACCCGGGAACUGCAUUGGAAACUGGCAGACUUGAGUCUUGUAGAGGGAGGUAGAAUUCCAGGUGUAGCGGUGAAAUGCGUAGAGAUCUGGAGGAAUACCGGUGGCGAAGGCGGCCCCCUGGACGAAGACUGACGCUGAGGUGCGAAAGCGUGGGGAGCAAACAGG
rnacentral:rRNA from 1 species